rnacentral:rRNA from 1 species
UACGGGGGAUGCAAGCGUUGUCCGGAAUCAUUGGGCGUAAAGAGUUCGUAGGUGGUUUGUUAAGUUUGGUGUUAAAUUCCGGGGCUCAACUCCGGUCAGGCACUGGAUACUGGCAGACUUGAAUGCGGUAGAGGUAAAGGGAAUUCCUGGUGUAGCGGUGAAAUGCGUAGAUAUCAGGAGGAACAUCGGUGGCGUAAGCGCUUUACUGGGCCGUAGUUGACACUGAGGAACGAAAGCCGGGGUAGCAAAU